rnacentral:rRNA from 1 species
GACGAACGCUGGCGGCGUGCUUAACACAUGCAAGUCGAACGGAAAGGCCCUGCUUUUGUGGGGUGCUCGAGUGGCGAAAGGGUGAGUAACACGUGAGUAACCUGCCCUUGACUUUGGGAUAACUUCAGGAAACUGGGGCUAAUACCGGAUAGGAGCUCCUGCUGCAUGGUGGGGGUUGGAAAGUUUCGGCGGGUGGGGAUGGACUCGCGGCUUAUCAGCUUGUUGGUGGGGUAGUGGCUUACCAAGGCUUUGACGGGUAGCCGGCCUGAGAGGGUGACCGGCCACAUUGGGACUGAGAUACGGCCCAGACUCCUACGGGAGGCAGCAGUGGGGAAUAUUGCACAAUGGGCGGAAGCCUGAUGCAGCAACGCCGCGUGCGGGAUGACGGCCUUCGGGUUGUAAACCGCUUUCGCCUGUGACGAAGCGUGAGUGACGGUAAUGGGUAAAGAAGCACCGGCUAACUACGUG